GGUAGUGUGGCCGAGCGGUCUAAGGCGCUGGAUUUAGGCUCCAGUCUCUUUGGAGGCGUGGGUUCGAAUCCCAUCACUGCCA
rfam:Otolemur garnettii contig183138, whole genome shotgun sequence.